rnacentral:sRNA from 1 species
AAAUUGCUCAGAGCAGCUACUCAUGUUGGACAAUUCAGGUCUCUUCUGGAAACUGGCCUUGUAUUUGGAAUUUUCUCCAGAGUCUGAUGUGCUAAGAAAUCUUCAGAACAAACUUUUCAUAAAAGAAACUUCACUGCAAGAGUUGAAGCCUGAGCUAGAAAGUUACAAAGAAAAUAAUGUACAACAGUCGUUCCAGAUAAUGUCCCUGAAAGAUAAUAUCAAGGACCUACAGGAACUUACUGCUUCUCUAACCAGAAUUAAAUAUUUGAGAAACACCAAUAUUCAGAGGCUUCAAAGAGGCAACUGGGAUUUAACUAAAUGAAUUAUUGAGCUAGAAACUGUCUAAGAGUACGAGUACAUCUGGUUGAAAAAGAAAAGGCAGAGAGAAAAGCAGACUUUUUGGAGUUGUUGUUCUCAGGCACUAACAGAUUCAUCCCUUAUAUGCAUAUGAAUGGACAAUAAGAUUUCUUGGAUAUUUUCAUGGCAAAGGGUAAGAGCGAAGCUAUCCUGGACAAGAACUUUGACAGGACAAUACUAUUCACUCUGAAGGACCAAAAAAUGAGCAGAAAAUUUGGGAUAAAUGUCAACAAGAUUUGAACCCUAAAGAAAAGCAAGCAUCGAGUUAGACAGACGUCCAUAUUCAUUCAACUGGGAAAAUAAAACUGUGCAGUCCCAACAUCAGAAUUUCCUUGGUCAGUUGGUUAUUGCGGGACAGCAUUCUUCUGCAUGACAGUAUUGUCUCCUUACCAGCCACAGAGGAGGCUGUGAGAGAGAGGAUUUGGGAAAUUGGUGCAAAUGAGAAAUCUUGGAAAUCUAGAAUUAAGCCUUUCAGCAGGAAAUCCAGAUGCUCACUAAGUGACUAGAGCAGCUGCAUCAUCUUUAAGAAGAAGGUGCUCAAGAAUCAUCCCAAGCUGAAGAAAAAAGUAUUGGGAACAAAAAAGACCCUUGAAAUGUCUAGAAAGAAAAAUUGAGAUCAAGGACUUUUUCAAGAGAGAUUAGACUUGGACAGGAAGAAAAAUUUGCAGAUUGCUACUACGCAAAGAUUGGAGGAGAAAAUUCAGAAACUUCAGAAACAGCUCAGUGAUUUGAAAUUGUCAAAUAAAAAUAUGAAAACUCAGCUGACAAGAGUAAAUGUCCUUAAAGACAAAACAAUUGAAGAGCUCAGGCAAUCUUUAGCAAAUGUUGAAACGAUGAAAGAGAAGGCAAAUGUUGAAACGAUGAAAGAGAAGGCAGUUGUGAAAACAGAAAACUUGAAAACUACAUUAGACUCUGCAGAGCAAAAGGCAAGAUCAGACAAAGAGAAGACCCAGCAGAUGUUAGAUGCUGUCACUUCUGAGCCCCCAAUAGCAAAGAGCACACCUGAAGAAGUAUCAGGACAAGAACAAGAGGCCUAUCCAGAGAUUCCAGUUCAGUUUGUGGUAUGAGGCUGAAGUAUGGAUAUUUUUUUCAAAGCUCCUUAAGUAUAUAAAUCGAUAAAAUUACUUUGGAA